rnacentral:rRNA from 1 species
CCUACGGGAGGCAGCAGUGGGGGAUAUUGCACAAUGGGGGGAACCCUGAUGCAGCGACGCCGCGUGGGUGAAGGAGGGUUUCGGAGUGUAAAGCCCUAUCGGCAGGGAAGAAGAUGACGGUACCUGAACAAGAAGCCCCGGCUAACUACGUGCCAGCAGCCGCGGUAAUACGUAGGGGGCAAGCGUUAUCCGGAUUUACGGGGUGUAAAGGGGGCGAAGACGGGAAGGCAAGCCUGGAGUGAAAGCCCGGGGCCCAACCCCGGGACUGCUCUUGAAACUGCCUGGCUGGAGUACUGGAGAGGCAAGCGGAAUUCCUAGUGUAGCGGUGAAAUGCGUAGAUAUUAGGAGGAACACCAGUGGCGAAGGCGGCCUUCUGGACUGUAACUGACGUUGAGGCCCGCACGCGUGGGGAGCAAACAGGAUUAGAUACCCGGGUAGUC